GACGAACGCUGGCGGCGUGCCUAAUACAUGCAAGUCGAACGAGUGGCGGACGGGUGAGUAACACGUGGGAACCUACCCAUCAGAGGGGGAUAACUACUGGAAACGGUAGCUAAUACCGCAUACCAUAAGAUGUGCCCAGAUGGGAUUAGCUAGUAGGUGGGGUAACGGAUGACCUAGGCGACGAUCCCUAGCUGGUCUGAGAGGAUGACCAGCCACACUGGAACUGAGACACUGUCCAGACUCCUACGGGAGGCAGCAGUGGGGAAUCUUGCACAAUGGGCGCAAGCCUGAUGCAGCCAUGCCGCGUGUGUGAAGAAGGCCUUCGGGUUGUAAAGCACUUUCCGCGGGGAGGCGUUACCCGCAGAAGAAGCACCGGCUAACUCCGUGCCAGCAGCCGCGGUAAUAC
rnacentral:rRNA from 1 species